rnacentral:rRNA from 1 species
GUUAUCACGGGAGACACACGGCGGGUGCUAACGUCCGUCGUGAAGAGGGAAACAACCCAGACCGCCAGCUAAGGUCCCAAAGUCAUGGUUAAGUGGGAAACGAUGUGGGAAGGCCCAGACAGCCAGGAUGUUGGCUUAGAAGCAGCCAUCAUUUAAAGAAAGCGUAAUAGCUCACUGGUCGAGUCGGCCUGCGCGGAAGAUGUAACGGGGCUAAACCAUGCACCGAAGCUGCGGCAGCGAACGUAUCACUUAAAGCGAUUCAGCGGGUUACGAUUGACGGAGCGAAGCGACGUCAAAGCGUAUACAAAGUCGAGUCGGUUUAAGGAUACGUUCGUUGGGUAGGGGAGCGUUCUGUAAGCCCGUGAAGGUGGCCUGUGAGGGUUGCUGGAGGUAUCAGAAGUGCGAAUGCUGACAUAAGUAACGAUAAAGCGGGUGAAAAGCCCGCUCGCCGGAAGACCAAGGGUUCCUGUCCAACGUUAAUCGGGGCAGGGUGAGUCGACCCCUAAGGCGAGGCCGAAAGGCGUAGUCGAUGGGAAACGGGUUAAUAUUCCCGUACUUGGUGUUACUGCGAAGGGGGGACGGAGAAGGCUAUGUUGGCCGGGCGACGGUUGUCCCGGUUUAAGCGUGUAGGUGUGUGUUCCAGGUAAAUCCGGUUCACUUUAACACUGAGGCGUGACGACGAGGCACUACGGUGCUGAAGCAACAAAUGCCCUGCUUCCAGGAAAAGCCUCUAAGCAUCAGGUAACACGAAAUCGUACCCCAAACCGACACAGGUGGUCAGGUAGAGAAUACCAAGGCGCUUGAGAGAACUCGGGUGAAGGAACUAGGCAAAAUGGUGCCGUAACUUCGGGAGAAGGCACGCUGACACGUAGGUGAAGUGAUUUACUCAUGGAGCUGAAGUCAGUCGAAGAUACCAGCUGGCUGCAACUGUUUAUUAAAAACACAGCACUGUGCAAACACGAAAGUGGACGUAUACGGUGUGACGCCUGCCCGGUGCCGGAAGGUUAAUUGAUGGGGUCAGCGCAAGCGAAGCUCCUGAUCGAAGCCCCGGUAAACGGCGGCCGUAACUAUAACGGUCCUAAGGUAGCGAAAUUCCUUGUCGGGUAAGUUCCGACCUGCACGAAUGGCGUAAUGAUGGC